rnacentral:rRNA from 1 species
UACGAAGGGGGCUAGCGUUGCUCGGAAUCACUGGGGCGUAAAGGGUGCGUAGGCGGGUCUUUUAAGUCAGAGGUGAAAUCCUGGAGCUCAACUCCAGAACUGCCUUUGAUACUGAGGAUCUUGAGUUCGGGAGAGGUGAGUGGAACUGCGAGUGUAGAGGUGAAAUUCGUAGAUAUUCGCAAGAACACCAGUGGCGAAGGCGGCUCACUGGCCCAUAACUGACGCUGAGGCACGAAAGCGUGGGGGAGCAAACAGG